rnacentral:rRNA from 1 species
CAUGGUUGUCGUCAGCUCGUGUCGUGAGAUGUUGGGUUAAGUCCCGCGACGAGCGCAACCCUUAUUGCUAGUUACCAUCAUUGAGUUGGGGACUCUAGCGAGACUGCCAGCGAUAAGCUGGAGGAAGGUGGGGAUGACGUCAAAUCAUCAUGCCCCUUAGUGACCUGGGCUACAAACGUGAUACAAUGGCUGGAACAAAGGGAGGCGAGGGGGUGACCUGGAGCGAAACCCAAAAAUACAGUCUCAGUUCGGAUUGAAGUCUGCAACUCGACUUCAUGAAGUCGGAAUCGCUAGUGAUCGCGGAUCAGAACGCCGCGGUGAAUACGUUCUCGGGUUU